rnacentral:rRNA from 1 species
UACGUAGGGCGCAAGCGUUAUCCGGAAUUAUUGGGCGUAAAGAGCUCGUAGGCGGUUUGUCGCGUCUGCUGUGAAAACUCGGGGCUUAACCCCGGGCCUGCAGUGGGUACGGGCAGACUAGAGUGCGGUAGGGGAGACUGGAAUUCCUGGUGUAGCGGUGAAAUGCGCAGAUAUCAGGAGGAACACCGGUGGCGAAGGCGGAUCUCUGGGCCUUACCUGACGCUGAGGCGCGAAAGCUAGGGGAGCGAACAGG